AUUGAACGCUGGCGGCAUGCCUUACACAUGCAAGUCGAACGGUAACAGGGAGCUUGCUCCGCUGACGAGUGGCGAACGGGUGAGUAAUGUAUCGGAACGUACCUUUUAGUGGGGGAUAACGUAGCGAAAGUUACGCUAAUACCGCAUAUUCUCUGAGGAGGAAAGCAGGGGACCUUCGGGCCUUGCGCUAAUAGAGCGGCUGAUAUCAGAUUAGCUAGUUGGUGAGGUAAAGGCUCACCAAGGCGACGAUCUGUAGCGGGUCUGAGAGGAUGAUCCGCCACACUGGAACUGAGACACGGUCCAGACUCCUACGGGAGGCAGCAGUGGGGAAUAUUGGACAAUGGGCGAAAGCCUGAUCCAGCCAUGCCGCGUGUGUGAAGAAGGUCUUCGGAUUGUAAAGCACUUUAAGUUGGGAGGAAGGGUUGUACGCGAAUACCGUGCAAUUUUGACGUUACCGACAGAAUAAGCACCGGCUAACUCUGUGCCAGCCGCCGCGGUAAUAC
rnacentral:rRNA from 1 species